rnacentral:rRNA from 1 species
UACGUAGGGUGCAGGCGUUAAUCGGAAUUACUGGGCGUAAAGCGUGCGUAGGUGGUUUGUUAAGACAGGUGUGAAAUCCCCAGGCUUAACCUGGGAACUGCAUCCGAUACUGGAUGGCUUGAAUCCGGGAGAGGGAUGCAGAAUUCCAGGUGUAGCGGUGAAAUGCGUAGAUAUCUGGAGGAAUACCGGUGGCGAAGGCGGCAUCCUGGACCGGCAUUGACGCUGAGGAGCGAAAGCUAGGGGAGCAAACGGG